AUGCUUUGGUGGGAAGAAGUAGAGGACUGUAUGAAAGAGAAGAUGUUCAAAAGAAAACAUUCACAAAAUGGGUAAAUGCACAAUUUUCUAAGCUACUCAAAAAGAGAUUGAGAAACAGAAGGUGCACCUGAAGAGUAUCACAGAGGUAGGAGAGGCCUUGAAAACAGUUUUGGGCAAGAAGGAGACGUUGGUGGAAGAUAAACUCAGUCUUCUGAAUAGUAACUGGAUAGCUGUCACCUCCCGAGCAGAAGAGUGGUUAAAUCUUUUGUUGAAUACCAGAAACACAUGGAAACUUUUGA
rnacentral:lncRNA from 1 species